UAAAACAACAGACAAUGCACUUUCCCCAAAUAACUCAAUUUACCUCUGACUCUCUCAUACCGCUUUGGCCUCCCGCCUUGGCAUUCCCUCUCUCGACCUUUUUCGCCUCCGCCUUAUCUGGUUUCGCCGCCUCCCCUGAGCAACACCCACCUUCAUGAUGGUGAUGAUGGUGGUGAUGCCCAUGGCCCAUGCCCAUGCCCAUGCCCAUUCCCAUGACCAUGCACAUGCCCAUGACUAUGUCCAUGCACUUUCUUCCCCUUGAGCUCCUUCCUCAUAUCAUACGCAUCUUCCCCAUCGGCAUAUUACUUCGCCUUCACAUCAUGAAUCUUAUAUCCCAAAGUCUCAGUGUACAAAUUGAACGCUGCCCGAUU
rnacentral:lncRNA from 1 species